ACGGUAUAUUUAACGUUAAAAUGCGGUCACAUGGUGCAGUCAGGAUACCUCCAAAUGAUUCAUGCGUACAUGUUCUACCACAGACCAAUAUGAAUGUUAAAAUGUAUAAAGUUUCACUUUUUGAUUAAGGUGUAAGUAUGUUGAGUAACUUUGUUCUUUAGUAUAUUCUGUUACUUCUCUUUGUGUCGAAACUUUGUGAAGAAAAAGUUUGUCUUGGCAUAAAUCCAAAAUUAUUUUUUCUUUUCUUCACAAGAUGUCUCCAUGCAAAGGAAAGUAAAAGUAUUAUUAUAGGAGUAUUAAAAAAAAUUGUGUUGUCUGCUUUGAAACUUGUUACUAACUUUUUUCUCUGCUUUUUUUCAGAUCUUUGUGCAUAAAAUUGUACAAUGCAACAGUUCAGUAUACGAAGUGACUCAUCACUUCGUAUACUGAACUGUUGUUUUGUACAAUGCAGAGGGGGACUGUAGUUCAAUUUUAGUGUUGUUUAGAGAUAAAAGUUUAGUAUAACCCCCUACUUAUCUUUGUCCCGAGGGGCGGGGGGGGGCUGACGUUCCCCGGCAUCAUCACUCUUCAUCCGCAACCUCUCGGGGCCGCCCCCGACUUCAUGACCUUCAUCUGCACACAGUACCACAUCAUGUUAAUACACACAAUCAUAUACUCACCCUCCGCAAUCUUUUCUGGGGUCCCUCCCGACUGUCCUCUCCAUCCGCAGCUCACUCUCUUUACCGACCGGGAUCCGAUACCACUUUGAAAUAGGACACGACCGCACUUGAGGCCGUGUACGAACCCACCACGCCACCCGACGUACUGACUUUAGUGAACGUUUCUUGUACAUCAACCCGCACUUUGAAUGUGAACAAUAUUUCGUGAAAAUAUUUAAGUUUCACGUCCGCACCAUUAGUCGUCUAGAUAGGGAAGUAUAGUGUUCUCUCAGAUGCGUUCCACUUGCGACUCAUGGAAGACUUAAACUUGUGUGAUCAAACUCAUGUCUGGAUUUGCAUGCAGCAGUUUAACCAGGUGAGCUACUCUGGCCGAUGAGUGGCACUGCCCACCCACUCUAUGAGUGUGUGCAUCGAUCUGAAGACCUAAAGGUUUAGGUCUUAAGAGUAAAGUUCCUCUAACAGAUGCAAGAUUAGAACCCACGUGCAUGUAUCCUCAGUCCAUCGCCUUACCUACUGAGCUACUCGCCUUGAAGCUUUGGACCAGUUCUUCACAAUUAAGUUCCUGUCGGCUUUCGCGAGGAGGCACUGCUACAUUUUCAUUCAACUUGUAUGUGUUUUGUAGGAUUUAUGUAAAUGAAAACACUGUUACAAAGUUUCUAUUCAACACCAUAUUCAGAAAUAAGUUUAAAUGUAUGUUUUGUUUGAAGCAAAUCACAUUAGUAAGGUGGAACUAAAGGGAAAAAAUAAUUUUGAAUCUCAGUGAGGUAAAUGUCAGAUUUGUAGUUUUGAGAUUGUUGGUUCGAUUCCCAGCUUGUUUAGAGACAUUUGAAGUCUAUGACCUAAAGUAUACAGUCUAUGUUGGAAGGAAAUAGAAGUUGGACUUAAGAUCAAUCAACUUAGACUGUUAAGUGAUAGCUAUGAAACUGUGAGUUCCAUCACGAAUAUUGACUGUUUCCUUUGGGUCCUUGACUUCAAAUUUCUCUAAACAAGCAGGGGAUUGAACCAACAACCUAAAGAUGUCACGACAGUGAUACACCUCGCUGACCUACUCAGCCGGACAAUUACAUCCUUUUCCGAACUUCUACUUCUACUUCUUUACAAACAUCUCACACUCAAGCAAACUCAACACUUCAAAGAGUUAAGGGAGGUCAGUGGGUUAUGGUCUGUAUAGACUAUCACAGCAGCAAGACCAGAAACAAAAUAGACAUUGAAAUGAUGUGAAGCCCAGACCAAAGCAAGGGCCUCCUUUUCAAUGACUGAAUAAUUCAAUUGAUGUGAAUUAAACUUUUGUGAAAAGAAGCUAACAGGUCUAUCAAUGUUGAGUUCAGUGAGCCUCUGUCUUUGUUCACCGCAGAGUGCUGUUGGCCUUUUUGUUGUUGUUUUCUUCCCCUUGUCCAUGUUAGUGUUCUUUAUAAUAGAAGGCCCAGAUGGAUUGCUGUUCAUUCCAUUGGUUCACAAAUGAAAGUUUUACAUUUUGAGCAUGUGUUUUGACUCAUUUCUUUUCUUUGAAAUCACCAAUGUAAUGUACAUGUUGUUGCUGUGAAGUAUUCAGGCUCCUCCUGAGAUUUUGUAAUAUAUAUUGAUCUGAUAUACAAUUGUUUUUAAGGCACUUAUUAUAAACUUAGAAAUAUCUUUGGACAGUGAUUAAUUCUCUAUUUUUAUUGUUUAUUAUUUUGGAAUUUUCUCAAAUUGUUUGGUCUAUAAAUGGUCAGGUGAAAUUAGCCAUCACAAUAUCUCAAAGUCCAAGGUGGGAACAGUUUUAAAUGUCUAACCCCCCCAAACUUUCACGAACAGGUGCAUUCUUUACAUUUGUUCCUCAUAUUUGUAUAAUUUUGCCUUUCUUAUGUUUUCUACUGUGUGUAUGGUGUGUGAGUGUUAACCAGUCACUGUAAUCACAUUUAAUCCUCACCUAGCUCCCCCUAGUGGUCAAUGAGAUUAACAGCUGACUUUGAAAUGUGUAACGGAAAAAAAUAUCAAAUUUGAUAAUAUAGCAGAAUAAACUCAAGUAUGUUUCUGGUUGUUUGGACAGUUAAAUAGUUUAUGUUUCAGAAACAAACUUCACCCCUGUGGACUCAUUUUGGUACAUUGCAAGUAGCCGCCCCCUUUUUUCCUCUAUACCUUCCAUUGGAAUCCUCCACUUCCUGUUUGCCAGUAGUCACUUCCACAUGGAGCUGGUGAACGCAGAACAAAUAUUUGUACACAUGAUCUGCGGACCCCGUCAACCCUCAUUCGCAGUUCAUCAGUCUUUACCAGUGCGGUCGGUAAAAAGAGUGAGCUGGGGACGGAGAUGACAGUCAGGAAAGACCCCAGAAAAGAUUGCUGAAGGUGAGUAUAUGAACAUGAUUAUGUAUAUGAACAUGAUGGUGUAUAUGAACAUGAUGGUGUACAUUAAUAUUGUGUGCAGAUGAAGGUCAUGAAGCCGGCGGCCCCGAGAGGUUGCGGUUGCGGAGUGAUGAUGCCGGGGGAACGUCAGCCCCCGGCCCUCCGGACAUGUGCCAGCAAGGGGUUAUAGAUAGGAGACAAAAAUGAGUAGGGGGUUAUACUAAACUUUUAUCUGUAAAAAACAACCUUAAAAUUGAACUACAGUCCCCCUCUGCAUUGUACAAAACAACAGUUAAGUAUAUGAAGUGAGGAGUCACAACAAAUACUGAACUGUUACUUUGUACAAUUUUUAUGUACAAAGAUCUGGAAAAAAAUGCAGAGUAAAAGGUUAGUAAAAAGUUACAAGUGUUAAAAGACAUUUUUUGAAAUAAACUACUAUUAUAAUAAUACUUUUACUUUCCUUUGCAUAGAGACUUCUUUUGAAGAAAAAAAUAAUAUUGGAUUAAUGCCAAGACAAACUUUCUUCAGUAAGUAACAGAAUAUACUAAACAACAAAGUUACUCAACAUAUGAUCAAAAAGUUCAACUAUAUACAUUUUAAACAUUCAUAUUGGUCUGUGGAAGAACAUGAAUCAUUUUGAGUUACUGACUGCACCACGUGACCGAAUUUUAACGUUGAAUAUACUGUAAGACUUGGUGGUUUUAACAGCAUCAGAUUUCCAUCUUGAGACCAGCUAUGAUGUUUUCGGUUAUGUCAAACUUUGUUUAUAUAAAACUUUUAACAUUGUGAUUUAUUCUCCUGGAAUCCACAAACCCUCAAGGAAUUCUGGGACCUGCUUUGACAUUUUUGGAGCCAAUAUUUUAUUUUGCUAGUGAAUUAUUGAGCACAUACUUUUUCCUACCUAGACCAUAAUAAGCAAAUGUAAAUCCAAAGACCAUCUCUAACACACAGUAAAGGCUUCCCGACAGGACUAGUUUUUUUACGAUCUGACUUGAAGACGUGCACUUUCUGCACGGAGGUCGAGCUCCUUGGUCCGGUUGAAGAGGACGGCGGAGGUGCUUGAUGGUCCUGCGCAGGGUCAGGCUCACAGUGGAGGACAGCUGGAGUCAACGGUGGAGCGCCAUCUGGAGGAGCAAAGGGGCUUCUGGUUAGACUGUGGUCAGAGUUGCUAGGUCUGUUUGUAAUUUGACAAAACUUUUUCCUUGCAGUUUACUAAACAAUGUCCGCCUUGAUCAAAAUAAGUUCAACUUUAUACCUUUUUAACACAUUGGUCUGUGGAUGUACACGUGUGCAUGGAUUUCUUUUGAGCUAUUCUCACUGUACCAUGGAGACACAUUUUAACAUUAAAUAUACUGUACACUUACACUUAGUUAAGUCCACAGGGGUGGAUUUUUAUUCAUCUAACAUAACGUGUAACUAUCUAACUGUCCAAACUACCUGAAACAUACUUUAUAUAUAUAUAUAUAUAUAUAUAUAUAUAUAUAUAUAUAUAUAUAUAUAUAUAUGUAUAUGCAAUAUAAAAUUAAAUAAUAGGACAUUUCUAUAAAUUGCAAUACUAAACUAUUAAAUGUUAUCACUACUAAUCUCAAAUGAGUACAGUUUACAUUCGGAUGACCCAGGUUUACUGUCUGUUUUCAUCUUCUUACUAUUUCUGUCCCCAAAAUAAAAAUGUGCCACUCUUUAAAACCCCCUAGUAAAUCUGCAUUGCAAUUGGAGGAUUUGAGCAGAAGGUAUGCCAGGUGGCGUGUUGGGUUCCUUUGCGGCCGCCACUACAGUCGCGUCUACUUCAGCGUGGUUCAAAUUCCAACCUGUCCCCUUGUCUCACUGUAGUUGGCACAAGUUUUGGACAAAAUGUCAGCCAGCUGAUGUUUCCCGUCUCAAAACCCCUGCUUCCAUCAUCUCCCUGGCGGACCGGGGGAGGAUACACCUUCAGAGGCCUUGUGGUGUCCAUGCCUCAACAGGUCAGAGCUGUUUUGGGAGCAAAAGAGGGGCUCACACAAUAUUAGUCAGGCGGUCAUAAUGUUAUGGCUGAUCGUUUUUGUUUUGUUUUCAUGCCUAUGAAAUCUUUAUUUUGUACAAUACUAUGACAUGUGUGCGCCUUCUGCAGCAAGCUAUUUCGAAAUUCUACCAACAGAUGGCAUCAUAAAAUGUGAAAGC